rnacentral:rRNA from 1 species
CCUACGGGAGGCAGCAGUAGGGAAUAUUGCUCAAUGGGGGAAACCCUGAAGCAGCAACGCCGCGUGGAGGAUGAAGGUUUUCGGAUUGUAAACCCCUUUUGUUAGAGAAGAUAAUGACGGUAUCUAACGAAUCAGCCCCGGCUAACUCCGUGCCAGCAGCCGCGGUAAUACGGAGGGUGCAAGCGUUACUCGGAAGCACUGGGCGUAAAGAGCGCGUAGGCGGGAUAGCAAGUCAGAUGUGAAAUCCUAUGGCUUAACCAUGGAACUGCAUUUGAAACUGUUAUUCUAGAGUAUGGGAGAGGUAGGUGGAAUUCUUGGUGUAGGGGUAAAAUCCGUAGAGAUCAAGAGGAAUACUCGUUGCGAAGGCGACCUGCUGGAACGUAACUGACGCUGAUGCGCGAAAGCGUGGGGAGCAAACAGGAUUAGAUACCCGGGUAGUC